rnacentral:rRNA from 1 species
UACGAAGGGGGCUAGCGUUGCUCGGAAUUACUGGGCGUAAAGGGCGCGUAGGCGGCUCGGUCAGCGUGCGGUGAAAGCCCGGGGCUCAACCCCGGGUCGGCCGUGCGAACUGCUGGGCUGGAGCACUGUAGAGGCAGGUGGAAUUCCGGGUGUAGCGGUGGAAUGCGUAGAGAUCCGGAAGAACACCGGUGGCGAAGGCGGCCUGCUGGGCAGUAGCUGACGCUGAUGCGCGACAGCGUGGGGAGCAAACAGGG